rnacentral:rRNA from 1 species
AUGGCGCCGAGCUGGAAGGGGAAGGGAAAGAAGAAGCCCCAGGCUUCAACCGAAGCGCCGCCAACCUUCGAGCCCGCCGUUGAGCGGUCGGUGGUGCUCAACCAGGAGGCGAUGGACAAGGUCCGCCCUGCACUCACCGCAAACUCCAAUGAGUGGGGGAAGACGGUGGCCUGGUCCGUAUCCCGUGCUUCGGUUGACAAGACGGCCAACGAGAUCCCCAUCCAUCUUCACGCCCUAUGGGCCGGCCUGAUUCCCCCUUUUUUCCGCCUUCUUCAAUGCCGUACUUUCCCACUACCAGAUCCAUAUGCUGCACCUGGAUCCCUAGUCCAUCAUCCUUCUUGCCUUCUUCACCUUCGUCUGCGAGGCCAUGGUGGGCAUUGCUCCUUCUGUGGCCUUACUUCGCCAUUUCUUCUUGUUGCAUCUGACCGACCCCCGGCAACGCUCAGGAUGCUUGAGCUUCCAGGCUGUGGCUGCGACGGCCAGCUCAGGGAUUGA